ACUAGUACAGCCACUAUGGAAAACAAUUGGAACGUUACAGAGAAGAUUAGCAUGGCCCUUGCGCAAUCACAUUCACUUUUGACAAGAAAAGGAAUAGCCAGGCUUCU
rnacentral:snRNA from 1 species